AUGGGUGUUGGCUACACGGUCUUUGCCAGCCCCGGCAAAACUGUCGCCCCUCUGAGGCUGGGGCCAAUCAGGAGGAGUGGGCAAGCAGAGGAAGGUGGUCUGAGGCUGAUGGUGACAACGCAGGGAGAGAAGGAGAUGUUGGCCGCUCCUCCAGGUCUCAGUGAGGCCUGGCUGCUCGAGGCCGUGUGUCGGCGGCUCCGUCAGCGCUGUCUGUCCUUCCCCACAGGGCUGAUGGCGGCCGUGACGUUGGACGAGUCCGGGGGCGGCCUCCAGACGCCCGGAGGAAGCCUCACCCUCGUCUGCAAGGCCUCCGGAUUCACCUUCAGCAGUUUUGAGAUGUUCUGGGUGCGCCAAGCACCUGGCAAGGGGCUGGAAUACGUCGCCUAUAUUAGCAGCACUGGUAGUACCACAGGCUACGGGGCGGCGGUGAAGGGCCGUGCCACCAUCUCGAAGGACAACGGGCAGAGCACACUGAAGCUGCAGCUGAACAGCCUCAGGGCUGAGGACAGCGCCACCUACUGCUGCGCGAGAGAUUCCUGUGCUGGUGGUGGUUGGGGUGAUAACGUGAAUCUGGACUCGUCCAACGUCACGGCUGCCAUCAGCCCUGUGGGGAAGGACAGACAGCGCUGA